rnacentral:rRNA from 1 species
UUUACGACCACCGAAGUUAAGCAACAUUGAGCCUGGUCUGUACCUAGAUGGGUGACCACUUGAGAAUACCAGGUGCUGUAAG